UCUGCCCGUCCAAAGGUAGCAUAAUCAUUUGCCUUAUAAUUGAAGGCUAGUAUGAAUGGUUUGACAAGAAUGUAGCUGUCUCUUUAUGAUUAAAUAAAAUUUUAUUUUCAGGUGAAGAAGCCUGUAUUGAAUUAAAAGACAAGAAGACCCUAUCGAGCUUGAAAAAAGUUAUCAGGUAGACAGUUAAUAUAUAUAAAAAACUAGCUGUUAAAAAUUUUAGUUGGGGUGACUGAGGAACAAAUAAAGCUUCCUUUAAAAACUUAAAACAUACAAGUUUUGAUCCAGAACAUUCUGAUUAAAGAAAUUAGUUACCGUAGGGAUAACAGCAUUAUCUUUUUUGAGAGCCCCUAUCGAAAAAAAGGUUUGUGACCUCGAUGUUGGACCAGAAU
rnacentral:rRNA from 1 species